rnacentral:tRNA from 1 species
GGUAGAAUGGCUGAAAUUUAGGUGAUAAACUGUAAAUUUAUUUAUGAGAAUAUUUUCUCUUCUACCA